GUCCUUAUGGGAGCGAUGUAAGGUCUGGCCUGCCCACUGAAGGAGUUUGAAGGGCCGCGGUAUACUAACCGUGCGAAGGUAGCAUAGUCAAUAGUCUCUUAAUUGGAGGCUUGAAUGAAUGGUCGGACAUAAGGAAAGCUGUCUCGGCUUUAAAGGGUGAAUUUAACUUUUGUGUGAAAAGGCAUUAAUGCGUUAGAGGGACGAUAAGACCCUAUAAAACUUGACGUCUAGUUUGGGUCCUACGAUCUGGGGAUAAAGAGGGGCUUGAUUGAGUUCGUUAUGCUGGGGCGGCAAGAAUAAAAUCCGUAACUGUUCUUUAGAUUAAAUAAUGAUUUUUAGAGUUUGAUCCUGAAUUUUAGGUUAAGAGAUUAAGUUACUUUAGGGAUAACAGCGUUAUUUCUCUUGAGAGUUCAUAUCGACAGAGAUAUUUGCGACCUCGAUGUUGAAUUAAAGUUCCCCUCGGGAGUAGGAGUUCGAGUGGUGGGUCUGUUCGACCUUUAAAACUUUACAUGAUUUGAGUUCGAAACCG
rnacentral:rRNA from 1 species